CACCUCUCAGGGUUGCACCUGGAGAGUUACCAGUACUCUACCAGUCUUGACUUAUGGGAGGGAGAGUCAAGCAGAGGCCUACCCAUUCCAUUCCUAGCUUGGGCUGUGGCUAGCAAGUGGAAGGCAAUCUACUACAAGU